rnacentral:rRNA from 1 species
AGUUUGAUCCUGGUUCAGAAUGCAAGCUGGCGGCCGGCCUAGCUCCUGCAAGUCGACCGGUAGCACAGAGAGCUUUGCUCUUCGGGGUGACGAGCGGCGGACGGGUGAGUAAUGUCUGGGAAACUGCCUGAUGGAGGGGGAUAACUACUGGAAACGGUAGCUAAUACCGCAUAACGUCGCAAGACCAAAGUGGGGGACCUUCGGGCCUCAUGCCAUCAGAUGUGCCCAGAUGGGAUUAGCUAGUAGGUGGGGUAACGGCUCACCUAGGCGACGAUCCCUAGCUGGUCUGAGAGGAUGACCAGCCACACUGGAACUGAGACACGGUCCAGACUCCUACGGGAGGCAGCAGUGGGGAAUAUUGCACAAUGGGCGCAAGCCUGAUGCAGCCAUGCCGCGUGUGUGAAGAAGGCCUUCGGGUUGUAAAGCACUUUCAGCGGGGAGGAAGGCGUUAAGGUUAAUAACCUUGGCGAUUGACGUUACCCGCAGAAGAAGCACCGGCUAACUCCGUGCCAGCAGCCGCGGUAAUACGGAGGGUGCAAGCGUUAAUCGGAAUUACUGGGCGUAAAGCGCACGCAGGCGGUCUGUCAAGUCGGAUGUGAAAUCCCCGGGCUCAACCUGGGAACUGCAUUCGAAACUGGCAGGCUAGAGUCUUGUAGAGGGGGGUAGAAUUCCAGGUGUAGCGGUGAAAUGCGUAGAGAUCUGGAGGAAUACCGGUGGCGAAGGCGGCCCCCUGGACAAAGACUGACGCUCAGGUGCGAAAGCGUGGGGAGCAAACAGGAUUAGAUACCCUGGUAGUCCACGCCGCAAACGAUGUCGAUUUGGAGGUUGUGCCCUUGAGGCGUGGCUUCCGGAGCUAACGCGUUAAAUCGACCGCCUGGGGAGUACGGCCGCAAGGUUAAAACUCAAAUGAAUUGACGGGGGCCCGCACAAGCGGUGGAGCAUGUGGUUUAAUUCGAUGCAACGCGAAGAACCUUACCUGGUCUUGACAUCCACAGAACUUAGCAGAGAUGCUUUGGUGCCUUCGGGAACUGUGAGACAGGUGCUGCAUGGCUGUCGUCAGCUCGUGUUGUGAAAUGUUGGGUUAAGUCCCGCAACGAGCGCAACCCUUAUCCUUUGUUGCCAGCGGUUAGGCCGGGAACUCAAAGGAGACUGCCAGUGAUAAACUGGAGGAAGGUGGGGAUGACGUCAAGUCAUCAUGGCCCUUACGACCAGGGCUACACACGUGCUACAAUGGCAUAUACAAAGAGAAGCGACCUCGCGAGAGCAAGCGGACCUCAUAAAGUAUGUCGUAGUCCGGAUUGGAGUCUGCAACUCGACUCCAUGAAGUCGGAAUCGCUAGUAAUCGUAGAUCAGAAUGCUACGGUGAAUACGUUCCCGGGCCUUGCACUCACCGCCCGUCA